rnacentral:lncRNA from 1 species
GCCUGCGCAGGGCGGCCCCGCGCCGGGCUCCCCGCGGAGGGGCGACCCCGGCUGGCCACGCGGUGGAGAGACGCUGCAGAGAAGCUGGGAGGGAAGCACGAACGCGCGUCUCGCCCAGGAGAGCGGUCGGCGGGCUCGGAUUGGACAUUCCCAGCGCCUCGCUGGUCCCACGGAAAUGGAGAAAUAGCUUCGGGAAGGAAGUCUGAGAUCGCGGGACAGCCGGUUUGGUUUCUUCUGAGGCCUCUCUCCUUGGCUUGCAGACAGCUGCCUUCCUCCUGUGUCUUCCCUCUGUACAGUACACGGUCUCUCACUGUUGUGGCCUCUCCCAUUGCGGAGCACAGUCUCCGGACGCACAGGCUUCAGCGGCCAUGGCUCACGGGCCUAGCCGCUCCACGGCACGUGGGAUCUUCCCGGACCGGGGCACGAACCCGUGUCGCCUGCAUCGGCAGGCGGACUCUCAACCACUGCGCCACCAGGGAAGCCCACGUGAGCUGUUCUAUAGGUACUGAAACCCCCACCAGGUGGAAGAAGUUAACUACAUGAUGACCAGACGGUAGCCAUGACAGAAGCUGCCACAAUUCUGAGAACUGGCCUCAUGGAAAUGGGAACAAACUGACCCUGGAACUGAAGAUUAACUGUACUUAAAACAAUCGAGAUGACGCUUGUCAGACCGCCAAGGACCAAUUUCAAGAUGACCGUCAGCUGACUGUGCUGUCUCUGCAUGUAGCCCCCUCCCUCCAUCUAUAAAAGCUCUUGCCCACUGCUUGUCAGUGGAGGGGAGUCGGCCUGUGGACAGGAGUCUGCCCUUCCCCUUCCCCGGACCCCGCAAUUGCCAGCCUCAGAAAUAAAGCAAACUUUCCUUUCCACC